rnacentral:rRNA from 1 species
GCCCAGACUCCUACGGGAGGCAGCAGUGGGGAAUAUUGCACAAUGGGGGAAACCCUGAUGCAGCGACGCCGCGUGAGUGAAGAAGCAUUUCGGUAUGUAAAGCUCUAUCAGCAGGGAAGAUAAUGACGGUACCUGACUAAGAAGCCCCGGCUAACUACGUGCCAGCAGCCGCGGUAAUACGUAGGGGGCAAGCGUUAUCCGGAUUUACUGGGUGUAAAGGGUGCGCAGGUGGCAGGGCAAGUCAGAUGUGAAAGCCCGGGGCUCAACCCCGGUAUUGCAUUUGAAACUGUCCGGCUAGAGUGCAGGAGAGGUAAGCGGAAUUCCUAGUGUAGCGGUGAAAUGCGUAGAUAUUAGGAGGAACACCAGUGGCGAAGGCGGCUUACUGGACUGUAACUGACACUGAGGCACGAAAGCGUGGGGAGCAAACAGGAUUAGAUACCCCCGUAU